GAAUAUUGGACAAUGGGGGGAACCCUGAUCCAGCCAUGCCGCGUGUGUGAAGAAGGCCUUUUGGUUGUAAAGCACUUUAAGCGAGGAGGAGGCUACUCUCGUUAAUACCUAGGGAUAGUGGUCGUUACCCGCAGAAUAAACCCCGGCUAACUCUGUGCCAGCAGCCGGGGUAAUAACGAGGGUGCAAGCGUUAAUCGGAUUUACUGGGCGUAAAGCGCGCGUAGGUGGCCAAUUAAGUCAAGUGUGAAAUCCCCGAGCUUAGCUUGGGAAUUGCAUUCGAUACUGGUUGGCUAGAGUAUGGGAGAGGAUGGUAGAAUUCCAGGUGUAGCGGUGAAAUGCGUAGAGAUCUGGAGGAAUACCGAUGGCGAAGGCAGCCAUCUGGCCUAAUACUGACACUGAGGUGCGAAAGCAUGGGGAGCAAACA
rnacentral:rRNA from 1 species